rnacentral:rRNA from 1 species
UACGGAGGGUGCAAGCGUUGUUCGGAAUUACUGGGCGUAAAGCGCGUGUAGGCGGCUUUGCAAGUCGGGCGUGAAAUCCCAUGGCUCAACCAUGGAAGUGCACUCGAAACUGCAGAGCUAGAGUCCUGGAGAGGAAGGUGGAAUGCUUGGUGUAGAGGUGAAAUUCGUAGAUAUCAAGCGGAACACCGGUGGCGAAGGCGGCCUUCUGGACAGACACCGACGCUGAGGCACGAAAGCUAGGGGAGCAAACAGG